UACGGGGGGAGCAAGCGUUGUUCGGAUUUACUGGGCGUAAAGGGCGCGUAGGCGGCCUCCGCAAGUCAGUUGUGAAAUCUCCGAGCUUAACUCGGAAAGGUCAACUGAUACUGCGGGGCUAGAGUGCGGAAGGGGCAACUGGAAUUCUUGGUGUAGCGGUGAAAUGCGUAGGUAUCAAGAGGAACACCUGCGGCGAAGGCGGGUUGCUGGGCCGACACUGACGCUGAGGCGCGAAAGCUAGGGGAGCGAACGGG
rnacentral:rRNA from 1 species